CGCGCCUCCGAGAAAUAUCUGGAACAACAAGUCCUGUGCAUCAGUUCCGCGCUCGAGCGCCAUGGACGAGGAAGGGGAUCUCCCCGAUGGCAACGGGGGCUGCUGGUGCGGACGCAUCCUCGUCCGCUCGUAGCAGAACACACCGCCGCCGCCGCGGCGUGCGGCCACCGCACGAGCACCUCCCUGUCGGCGCAGACCGCACGGAGCCCCGCCCCCGCCGCGGCGUGCAGCCACCGCACGGGCACUUCCCCGGUCGGCGCAGACCGUAGGGAGCCCCGCCGCAGCGGCGUGUGGCCAUCGCUCCGGCACCACCUUGCUCGCUCGGCGCGGCCCGUAGGGAGCGGGCACCGUGCGGGGCUGCGGGCACCUCCUCGCCCGCUCGGUGCAGCGUCUCUAUUGCAACAGCUCAAGCUUGCUUGGGUGCGGUUGCUGCUAGCUUUGUCGCUGCAACUUCAGCUCGUCUCCUCACAGAAAACUAGAGCAGGAAGAGGAAGGCAGGAAGCUUGGUCGCUGCAAGAACAAUGGAGGUGGUGCUCGAUAAUGCUGCUGGCAUGGUGGCUGGCUACAUGGCCAGGCAGCACCGGGGCUUGAGGAAGAGGAAGUGGGGCAAGUGGGUGUCGGAGAUCAUCAGAUCAGGGAGCCCAGCAAGAAGAUGCGCGCAUCUGGCUUGGCAGCUUUGAGUCCCCGGAGAUGGCCGCGGUGGCAUGACGUCGCCGCCGUUUCCGGCCCGACCGGCCUCGGCGGCGGCGACAGCGACAGCUCCUGCAACAGCUUCCUUGCUCGCUCGGCGUGCGGCCACCGAGCCGGCGCCUCCUCGCCCACUCAACGCAGCCCGCAGGGCCGAUUCCGAGCGCGGCCUCCGCCGACGACCCCGCGCGCUGGCGAUGGUGCCAAAUCAAUGGAGGUACUGGACAGAGGGUGGACGAGUUUGGGCCAGACAGAUCUAUCUUCUGCGGGUGGCGAGUUGUGGGUGAUGAUGCACAGAUUUAGGUGCAAAACUCGAUUUCAGCAAGGUGCAAGUGAGCAAUAAAACCUACUCAUGUAAAGGUGAUAUGAAUCUCAAUGAUGUUUUAUUUCAAAAGGAAAAGAAUCUCAUCCAUAUCUUAAGUUGUACAUUAUUUGUUAUUACCUAAUGCAAGACUUAAUUGAUAGGAUAUGAGAUAUGCA